rnacentral:lncRNA from 1 species
GUCACUCAGCUUUGUUUCUUAUUAAAGAACUUUUACUAUUUUUUUUUCUAAAAAUGUUUCCAUUUUUAUUUACGACUGUUUUGGGAAUAAACUUGCUCAUUUUGCCCUCCUAGACCAUGAUCUGGCUGUAUUUGCACCCCACUUUUCGUUAUUUUUAUUAUGACAUACUUUGUUUAGUGUUACAUAGUUAUUUAUUAAAUAAUUCAUUAUUUGUUUUGCAUUUUUCCCACUUUUUUUCUACACAGAAAAUAUUUGAAUAUAAAAUUGUAGUUCGCAGACUUUGGAAUUUUUUUUAUAUAUAUUUUGUUUAGCUUUGUUACUUUGUGAUUCUUUUACUAGCUAGAUAGUGUCAGUGUUUAUAGCUUGUUGGCUUUCAACACUUUCUCUCCCUAGCCAUCUUUGAUUUAUUUAAGAUAAGCACUGCUGUAUCCCAAGUUGGCUUCAAAUUUGUUAUAUAGCCAAGGCUAUCCUUAAACUCCUGAUCUUCCUGCUUUUGUCUUCUAGAAGGCUGAGAGAGCAGGCUAGCCAGCCUACUGCACCUUGUUACAAUCUCCUUUGUAAAGAGUGAUUAUGUGAAAGGGUAUACAAUCCUCUAAGUACUAUUUACCCUGAUUUACCAGUUCUCCUAAGCAGUAUUUUGUAAUGGUAUUGUAAUUUGCUCUUUAACCAGUGUUAUGUUUUUGAGCAUUCUUUUUACCUUUCUAGUUAAAAGUUGUACCUUUUAACAUUUUUUAAUUAUUAUUUAUUUGAACAUUUUGUGGGCAAAGACAAUAUUAAAUCCUAGAACUGCCUGACUUUUCCUGGGACCUAGCAUCAUUGUAUUACAGUGCAUUCAUUGUAAACAAAACAAAACAAAACCCUGCACCAUAUGUGUUGAGAACAACACAUGGUUUUCAUUUGCUGGGCUCAGAACAUUCUGUAAGUUAGUACAUCAUACUUGUAAUCUUACUGAAAUCAUUGGCAUGCAUACUAAAGGCUUAUAUCAUUCUUUAAUAAAUAUAUCAACAUCUUCCAAAUU